GCCGGAAGUGGUGGUGUACUCCUGUAAUCCAGGUACUCGAAGCCUAGAUAUAGAUGUUUUAAGAGCUGGGAUUCUAGGAUUGGAUUUUUCACUUUAACUGUGCGUCCGCUAGAGGUAAAUCUUCAACUUGGAUGCCUUGUGGGAGCCCGAGGUAGCCAGGUUGAAAAGAGGAAAAGUCGGCCCAAAAGUCACCGAGUUGAGAGUUGUGGAUUCAAAUCCUGGGAGGCGGAGUUCAAUUUCAGAUCGUCCAAACAAGAACAGACCUGUACCUAA
rnacentral:SRP_RNA from 1 species